CCAAUAGCGUAUAUUAAAGUUGUUGCAGUUAAAAAGCUCGUAGUUGAAUUUCGGGAUUGACACAUCGGUCGUGCCUUAAGGGGUAUGAACUGGUGUAGUCAAUUUCUCACCUUCUGGAGAACCGCGAUGCCCUUAAUUGGGUGUCGCGGGGAACCAGGACCUUUACUUUGAAAAAAUUAGAGUGUUUAAAGCAGGCAUUUUGCUUGAAUACAUUAGCAUGGAAUAAUAAAAUAGGACGGCAUGAUUCUAUUUUGUUGGUUUCUAGGAUCACCGUAAUGAUUAAUAGGGAUAGUUGGGGGCAUUAGUAUUCAAUUGUCAGAGGUGAAAUUCUUGGAUUUAUUGAAGACUAACUACUGCGAAAGCAUUUGCCAAGGAUGUUUUCAUUAAUCAGGAACGAAAGUUAGGGGAUCGAAGACGAUCAGAUACCGUCGUAGUCUUAACCAUAAACUAUGCCGACUAGGAAUCAGACGAUGUUAAUUUUUUAAUGACUCGUUUGGCACCUUACG
rnacentral:rRNA from 1 species